UACGGGAGGCAGCAGUGGGGAAUAUUGCACAAUGGGCGCAAGCCUGAUGCAGCCAUGCCGCGUGUAUGAAAAAGGCCUUCGGGUUGUAAAGUACUUUCAGUCGUGAGGAAGGUGUUAAGGUUAAUAACCUUAGCAAUUGACGUUAGCGACAGAAGAAGCACCGGCUAACUCCGUGCCAGCAGCCGCGGUAAUACGGAGGGUGCGAGCGUUAAUCGGAAUUACUGGGCGUAAAGGGCACGCAGGCGGUUAAUUAAGUUGGAUGUGAAAUCCCCGGGCUUAACCUGGGAAUGGCAUUCAAGCUGGUUAGCUAGAGUCUUGUAGAGGGGGUAGAAUUCCAUGUGUAGCGGUGAAAUGCGUAGAGAUGUGGAGGAAUACCGGUGGCGAAGGCGGCCCCUGGACAAAGACUGACGCUCAUGUGCGAAAGCGUGGGGAGCAAAC
rnacentral:rRNA from 1 species